ACCAGACUCCUACGGGAGGCAGCAGUGGGGGAUAUUGCACAAUGGGGGGAACCCUGAUGCAGCGACGCCGCGUGGGUGAAGGAGUAUUUCGGUAUGUAAAGCCCUAUCGGCAGGGAAGAAGCAAGACGGUACCUGACUAAGAAGCCCCGGCUAACUACGUGCCAGCAGCCGCGGUAAUACGUAGGGGGCGAGCGUUAUCCGGAUUCACUGGGUGUAAAGGGAGCGUAGACGGCCAAGCAAGCCAGGGGUGAAAGCCCGGGGCCCAACCCCGGGACUGCCCUUGGAACUGCUUGGCUGGAGUGCGGGAGGGGCAGGCGGAAUUCCUGGUGUAGCGGUGAAAUGCGUAGAUAUCAGGAGGAACACCGGCGGCGAAGGCGGCCUGCUGGACCGCGACUGACGUUGAGGCUCGAGAGCGUGGGGAGCAAACAGGAUUAGAUACCCGUGUA
rnacentral:rRNA from 1 species